rnacentral:rRNA from 1 species
AACGAACGCUGGCGGCAGGCCUAACACAUGCAAGUCGAGCGCGCCCUUCGGGCUGAGCGGCGGACGGGUGGGUAACGCGUGGGAACGUGCCCUUUUCUCCGGAAUAGCCUCGGGAAACAGAGCGUAAUACCGGCUACGCUCUCUGGGGGAAAGGUUUAUCGGAAAAGGAGCGGCCCGCGUUGGCUUAGGUAGAUGGUGGGGUAAUGGCCUACCACGACGUCGUUCCAUAGCUGGUUUGAGAGGAUGAUCCGCCACACUGGGACUGAGACACGGCCCAGACUCCUGCGGGAGGCAGCAGUGGGUAAUCUUAGACAAUGGGGGCAACCCUGAACUAGCCAUGCCUCGUGAGUGAUGAAGGCCUUAGGGUUGGAAAGCUCUUUCAGCUGGGAAGAUAAUGACGGUACCAGCAGAAUAAGCCCCGGCUAACUCCGUG